rnacentral:rRNA from 1 species
UACGGAGGGUGCAAGCGUUGUCCGGAUUUAUUGGGUUUAAAGGGUGCGUAGGCGGCCCGGUAAGUCAGAGGUGAAAGCCUCCAGCUCAACUGGAGAACUGCCAUUGAUACUGCCGGGCUUGAGUACAGACGAGGUUGGCGGAAUUGAUUGUGUAGCGGUGAAAUGCAUAGAUACAAUCAAGAACUCCGAUUGCGUAGGCAGCUAACUAGGCUGUAACUGACGCUGAGGCACGAAAGCGUGGGGAGCGAACAGG